rnacentral:rRNA from 1 species
UACGUAGGGUGCAAGCGUUGUCCGGAAUUACUGGGCGUAAAGGGCUCGUAGGCGGCCAACUAAGUCAGACGUGAAAUCCCUCGGCUUAACCGGGGAACUGCGUCUGAUACUGGAUGGCUUGAGAUUGGGAGAGGGAUGCGGAAUUCCAGGUGUAGCGGUGAAAUGCGUAGAUAUCUGGAGGAACACCGGUGGCGAAGGCGGCAUCCUGGACCAACACUGACGCUGAGGAGCGAAAGCCAGGGGAGCAAACGGG